GCCCCCUCGGGGCCGGUGUACAGGUGCUGCAUGGCUGUCGUCAGCUCGUGCUGUGAAGUGUUGGGGUUAAGUCCCCGCAACGAGCGCAACCCCUGCUAUCUGUUGCCAGCAAGUAAUGUUGGGGACUCAGAUGGGAACUGCCGGUGACAAACCGGAGGAAGGUGGGGACGACGUCAAGUCAUCAUGGCCCUUAUGUCCUGGGCUACACACGUGCUACAAUGGCCGGUACAGAGCGCAGCGAAGCCGCGAGGCAAAGCGAAUCGCAAAAAGACCGGUCUCAGUACGGAUUGGAGUCUGAAACUCGACUCCAUGAAGUUGGAAUCGCUAGUAAUCGCGCAUCAGCAUGGCGCGGUGAAUACGUUCCCGGGCCUU
rnacentral:rRNA from 1 species